rnacentral:rRNA from 1 species
GGGCCCGCACAAGCGGUGGAGUAUGUGGUUUAAUUCGAUGCAACGCGAAGAACCUUACCUGGUCUUGACAUACACAGAAUCUUGUAGAGAUACGAGAGUGCCUUCGGGAAUUGUGAUACAGGUGCUGCAUGGCUGUCGUCAGCUCGUGUCGUGAGAUGUUGGGUUAAGUCCCGCAACGAGCGCAACCCUUGUCCUUAGUUGCCAGCAUUUAGUUGGGCACUCUAGAGAGACUGCCGGUGAUAAACCGGAGGAAGGUGUGGAUGACGUCAAGUCAUCAUGGCCCUUACGUGUAGGGCUACACACGUGCUACAAUGGCAUUUACAGAGGGAAGCGAGACAGUGAUGUGGAGCGGACCCUUAAAGAAUGUCGUAGUCCGGAUUGGAGUCUGCAACUCGACUCCAUGAAGUCGGAAUCGCUAGUAAUCG